GAUAAAAGCGGCCAAGUCGCCCGGAGGUCAGCGAAUUCGGCCCCCUGUCGCCCGCCGCUCGGUCCAGCCCGGCCCAGCCAGCAUGUCCAUCCACUUCAGCUCCCAGGUCUUCAGCUCGCGCUCCUCCGCCUUCCCGGGGCGAGGCACCCAGAUGCGCCUGAACUCGGUGCGCCCCGGCGGCUUCGGCGGCAGCAGCAUCAGCCUCUACGGCCUUGGCGCCUCGCGGCCGCGCGUGGCAGCGCGCUCAUCCUACGGGGGCCCAGCGGGCGCCGGCAUCCGCGAGGUCACCAUCAACCAGAGCCUGCUGACCCCGCUGCAGGUGAACAUCGACCCCUCCAUCCAGCAGGUGCGCCAGGAGGAGCGCGAGCAGAUCAAGACCCUGAACGACAAGUUCGCCUCCUUCAUCGACAAGGUGCAGUUUCUGGAGCAGCAGAACAAACUGCUGGAGACCAAGUGGGCACUGCUGCAGGAGCAGAAGUCGACCCAGAGCAGCUGCCUCCUGGGCAUCUUUGAGGCCCAGAUUGCUGGCCUGCGGAAGCAGCUCGAGGUCCUGCAGCUGGACGGGGGCCGCCUGGAGGUGGAGCUUCGGAACACGCAGGACGUCGUGGAAGACUUCAAGAACAAGUACGAAGACGAAAUUAACCGUCGCACGGCUGCUGAGAAUGAGUUUGUAGUGCUGAAGAAGGAUGUGGAUGUUGCCUACAUGAGCAAGGUGGAGCUGGAGGCCAAGGUGGACGCCCUGAAUGAUGAGAUCAGCUUCCUCAGGACCCUCUAUGAGGAGGAGCUGAAAGAGCUGAAGUCUGAGGUCUCAGACACGUCUGUGGUCCUGUCCAUGGACAACAGCCGCUCCCUGGACCUGGACGGCAUCAUCGCCGAGGUCAAGGCCCAGUACGAGGAGAUUGCCAACCGCAGCCGAGCCGAGGCCGAGGCCUGGUACCAGACCAAGUUUGAGACCCUCCAGGCCCAGGCUGGGAAGCACGGGGACGACCUCCGGAAUACCCGGAAUGAGAUUGCGGAGCUGAACCGGGCCGUCCAGAGGCUGCAGGCUGAGAUCGACAGCAUCAAGAAGCAGCGUGCCAAGUUGGAGGCUGCCAUCGCCGAGGCCGAGGAGCACGGGGAGCUGGCCGUCAAGGAUGCACGUGCCAAGCAGGAGGAGCUGGAGGCCGCCCUGCAGCGAGCCAAGCAGGACAUGGCCCGGCAGCUCCGGGACUACCAGGAGCUCAUGAGCACCAAGCUGGCCCUGGACAUCGAGAUCGCCACCUACAGGAAGCUGCUGGAGGGCGAGGAGAGCUGCCCUGCGAACCAGGGAGAGGAGGCAAGGACCCAGCAGCUCUGCAGGAGGAGGGUGCCUCAGGAAGCGCUAAGAGCAAGCUGGCCUGGCUGGAGGCCGCCCUGCAGCGGGCCAAGCAGGACAUGGCGCGGCAGCUGUGCGAGUACCAGGGGCUCGUGAUGGUCAAGCUGGGCCUGGAUUUUGAGAUCGCCACCUACCGCAAACUGCUGGAAGGCGAGGAGAGCAGGCUUGGCCUGGGAUUUGGGGCAGGGAACAUCAGUAAGUAAAUAAUAGAGUAACUUGGGUUAGAGGGGUCAAAUCUUAACUCCCCGCCACCUGCUGUGUGUGUAUCCUCUUGGGAAGGGAGAAGGGGUCUGCUGCCUGUGUGUCUCCCUUUUGUGGGGGGCUGUUCCCUCUCGUAGUGGUUGUUUCGUGUUUGUGUGUGUUGGGGGAGGGCGUUCUGUGGUCUGCUCUUUGCGGGGAGGAUCUCUUGGUGUGUCCUGGGGUGUGGGAAGAAGUUCUGUGUGUUUAUCCCCGUGGAGGAGACUCUUUUAUUCUCGUGUGGGGAGAAUCCGUGUCUGACUUCAGGGUCGGGGGGAUUCCCGAGUUUGGUUCUGGGGGAUGCGGUCUGUGUCUCUAACACUUCGGGGAGUUUGCACUGCACGUCUGUCUCCUGGGGGAGGGGGGUUGUCUGUGCAUCUGUAUGUCUGUCUUCGGGGGCGGCGCGAGCCGGGGAGAAGAAGGGGUUUCCUCCUCCACCAGCCGCUCUCAACACCUGCGGGCUGGUCUCAACCUCGGGCCUCUCGGUCCAGCUGCCGUCUGGAGCUGGCCCCGGCGCCCUGGAGACGAGCGCCCCUGGCGGCGGCUGCGCGCCCUGCGGCUCCACUGGCGGUGUCGGGGGCUUCAGCUGCAGCGGCUCCUGUGGAUGCUGAACCCUUCCUGCCCUGCUCAGGAGAAGUCAAGGAACCCUAGCUUCCGCCCCAGUGACUUGGCGCUGUGUCUCAGACGCCCCCUCCCACGGUUCUGGACCUUGCUUCACCUUUCCCUCUUGCCCCCCACCUUAGAGUGUAAAGUCUUGGAAUGUAGUUUACUGGACCAUGAAAGACCCAUUCCCAGGGUGGGGACAGGCUGGACGCUGUGCCGCUGGGAGGCAAGGUGUUUGGCUUAUCUGGACCCAGCGCCCCACCCCUCUGAACUACCCCACCCCCUCUUUUCCUGGGACUCCUCCUUUGCAAUAAAAAGUUAUG